AGUGUCUUAUAAUUGAUGAAGCUGAUUGCAUUCUUGAGCAGAACGUUGAGGAAGAUAUGAAACAAAUAUUUAAACGCCUUCCCCAGAAUCGGCGGACAGUUCUUUUUUCUGUGACACAAACUAAAGAGGUUGAAGAUUUUGCCAAGUUGUCAUUUGAGAAAAACGAAGAAAGGAAAGAAAAACCUGUUUAUAUCUCAGUUGAUGAUGGUAAAUCAAAUGUAAGAA